UACGGAGGGUGCAAGCGUUAUCCGGAUUCACUGGGUUUAAAGGGUGCGUAGGCGGGUCUGUAAGUCAGUGGUGAAAUCUCCGGGCUUAACCCGGAAACUGCCAUUGAUACUAUAGGUCUUGAAUUAUCUGGAGGUAAGCGGAAUAUGUCAUGUAGCGGUGAAAUGCUUAGAUAUGACAUAGAACACCAAUUGCGAAGGCAGCUUACUACGGAUCGAUUGACACUGAGGCACGAAAGCGUGGGGAGCAAACAGG
rnacentral:rRNA from 1 species